UUCACUGUUACCUUCAAUGGUCGUAAAACACAAGUCACUGCUUUUAAAUUUAUUAAUUUGUUAGUUAUUUGAUAAAAUAUCGGACGGAUUGGUAUCGAUUCAGCUAUUAUCAGACAAUUUAUCGGACCUAGUUAAAUCCGUAUUACAGUGGGACUAUUUUGGUCCUUCAUGUUAAACUGUUACAUGUAAAUACCGGUACUAGUUUACUUUGCAUGUAUUCCCAUCAUUUUUCACUGUUACCUUCAAUGGUCGUAAAACACAAGUCACUGCUUGUUACUACCUUCAAUACAUUCUUCAGCUAACAUAAUAGUUAACACUUCCUACCAUGGCAAUUACACCUGUUAAAAUGAGUCCAGAAUACAAUUAGAGAUAAAACGAAAAUUUAGACGUAAAAUCUACAACAGUUGAUGACGUCCAAAAUACAACUGUUAUAGUAACAGUGCUUCAAUUUCUGCAGCUUCAAAGUUCAAACGACUUGCAAAGAUGAGAGGAAGAACGAGUUGAGGAGCAGCAGAAGAUGCAACAUCAGAUUCAAUCAUCGAAUAUUCUACCUUUACCUUCACCUGAUGUAGCAGCAGAUUUGGACAUUUUUAAUGAUGUUUGAUAUCCUUUCAUCAAUAGCUUUAAAACAAGUACCAACAUUUUGGGAGGAAGUUAUUUUGUCCUUCCUACCUGCUGUGUCUAUAUCAACAGCCUGUCCAAGAAUCUCAUUUUCAUAGGCAAAUCAAUUAUGAGUCUAAUCAUCAAAUACUCUACCUUCGCCUAAAAGUCUGCAUUUUUGACAAUGUAUCUCAUUUUACUCAUGCAGCUUAGGCAGUACCCAUCAUGUCAGACGAGGUUUCUAUGUCAAUAAUUCGUUGAUAGGAAAAGAAAUUAAUUCAUUGCGGAAAAGAAAGCUGUUCAGUUGCACAAAAGAGAUAGAUAAGCUCAUGCCAAGCUUAUGUUCUUGACCAACAGAAGGAACAACAAUACACAACAAGCAGUAACACACAUGAGUCAUGCAAUAAAUAUAUUAAUAGAUUUAUUAACACUGUAUUAUAAUUUGAAUCCUUACUAGAUAUAUUAACAAUACACGUCAAUUACAGAAGGGUCUUUUCCAUCACUAGCUAAAUCUGGAAAAAUAAAAUUAAAAUAAUGAGUUGUGCGACAAUAUAAGCAUAUCCACAACACUUACAUACAACAAAUAUAGUAACAAUAUUAUUACCUUGAUUAAGAUGUUCGAGUUUAUCAAGAUCUUCCUCAACACUAAUAGGUUAUUUUAAUUUUUUAUUUCGAAGCCAAUCUUUAAGACACACUAGAGCUUGCACCAAAUUUAGGAGUUAAUGAACUCCUAAAUGAAUCACGUGCUAAACAUACAUUCGAAUGCCACAUAUGAAACUGAAAUAGCUAAUACAUCACGAACUAUCUCCGCAAGAACAGAAAAUCUAGCUAAGUUCAAUUUCCACCAGAGAAGAACAUCAAAUUCUUUAGUAUCAUUCUCAGUUUCUUCACCAAAAUAUUUAUCUAACUUUGUUCUAGUAUCCAAACCUCCACUCCCAGUUUAUAUUUUUUUAUAUCUUGCAUGAAUGAAUCUAAAAGUCUUGUAUUUUGGGUGCUUACUUGACUGUCAGAAAGCCCGAAAGUAGAAGUGUCAAAUGAAGAACAAUCUCAAGACAAAACAAGCACGACACUUUUUGAGCUAGACUUUACAUACUCCCUAAAUAAUGAAGUCAUGUACUUAUUCACUUCUGCUUGUAUAGUUGCCCCUGUACCUUUACCAAAAUCAUGACAAGUGCAUAGCCAACUGAUUUGAGCUUGUAACGUGGAUCAAAAAUACAUGAGAUGAAAAUUAUCUUGUUCAUUUUCCCAAGAUCACCCAAUACUUAUGAAACUUUUCUUUCAUCUUCUUUGCUAUUUCACUUAAAACUGCAUCGUCAUUUGCUAUCAAUUACUUCAAAUAAACAACAACCGCACAAAUUUCAAGAAAAUAAAUAUUUGAUGUAACAUAACGUGAUCCAGAUAUUUUCAAAGUAAGAAGAUAAUAUAUUUCAAGAAACUUUGUAAUUCUUUUUAUGUUCUCCUAAUCACUAUUCAAAAAUUCACAUGUAGGAAUUCCAACUUCAAUAUAAGAAUGCACAAGAUAAUGUCUCGGGCCAACUUCACUAGAAGCAUAAUGUGAAAAUGCACUUUCAAAUUCAACAGCCCUACACAAUAUCAAGUCAAUGGAAUUCCACCUAGUUCGAACAUCCAAGCAUAAUUUUUUUUAUAAUUGUGUUGUUCAUCAUCAAAACAUUCUUGAAACCUCUGAAACCUUGCAGGAGAUUGCCUAACAUAUCUCACUGUAUGCCUAACACGUUCAAUAGACAUUGAAGAUUCUUUUAAACCAUCUUGGACCACAAGAUUCAUUAUGUGAGCCAUACAUCUCACGUGAAGGUGAAUACCGUUCAUCAAAUUAUUUCUCAUUUCUAUUAAUUGCUUAGACAAUUCUUUUACUGUCACAUCAUUUCAGCUUGCAUUAUCAACUGUGACAAUGAAGAUCUUAUUUAUCCCCCACUCACGUAAGCACUUACUAAUACUAUUUUUCAUAUCUUCGCCUUUAUGACUAAUAAUAGGACAAAAGUUAAUUAUUCUCUUAUGCAUAUUCCAUUCACUUAUCAAUCCAAUGGGCAAUGAUACACAUGUAAUUGAUUCUUUGUAUAUAAGUCCAGGUAUCAAUGAUAAUACUUACUCUUUAUUUUGUUUCUAUAAAUGACCUCUUCAACUUUUGCUUUACUUCAUUAAAAAUAUCAAAAUAAUCUCGGGUUACAGUACUACGGGAAGGGAUCCGAAAAUAAUGUUGCACCACUUUCAUAAGGUCUCUAAAACCUUUUUUUUACAACAAUAGCAGGGCGUUUAGGACAAUUAAACAUAUGAGAAAGAAGUGUCGCCAUACCGUCUUUGGUCUUAAAACAAUCAAUAGUCACAUUUUUUUGUUGUACUCCGUUCGGAAGUAAUAAUUUUUGUAAAAUGAUCUCACACAACAAAUAAUUUUUUCCUUUUUUUGGUUAUAUUUGACUCUGUUAUUUCAGCUUGACUUAUUACAUUUCAAUUAGAAGCCUACUUUCACCCAUCACCUUAUCAUUUUAUAUAUUUUCAACCAUUCUAUUUGUCACUUCAACAAGAAAACAAAAGGAAUGAAUACAAAGGACCAAAAGACUACAAUCUCUUUGAUGACGAAGAAGUUUUUUUCAUUCAGAACUGAAUCGAAAUCGAAUUAGAAGUAAAUUUUUUCAGACAAAGAAUGACGAGGAAAAUGACAUUCUACUGCCACGAAAUCCCUCUUUUAAUCCCCAGAAUAAUUUUGACAUUUCCCCAUAUUUUAGACAUAGAUUUGGUCUAUUUUAUCAAUAGCAGAACUAAAGAUUCGACCAUCAAGUAAAGAUUUGAAAAAGAAUGAGAAAGAAACUUACCAUCUACUGCUCUAGCUAUGGCCGUAAGCCCCUAAUUGGGGUUCUGAGAUCUGAUACUGAGAUUCGAGGUGAAGUAUGGAGGAAACGAGGAAAAAUUAGAGAAGAGAAUGAGAGGCGAGAGGCAGCGGCUGGGUUGUUGUUGUUGUUGUUGUUGUGUUGACUGUAGUGUUGCCUCAACCGUCAGACUUCAUAGUGUAUAGGGUAUGAGAGUGAGAUUGUGAGAGGCGACGCGAGACGGCGAGUGGGAGAGCGAGACUCGAGAGGGCUGGUUGUUUGUUGCUUAUGAGAUCCGAGGGAAAUUAGAAAUUUUAGAUGUUAGGGUUUCUAAAAUGGAGUAAUACUGGUCCAGUACUAGAAGUGGAAGUGUGGAAGGGAUUUUU
rnacentral:lncRNA from 1 species